GAGUAACGUGGCUUGACCACGCAUGGACCACAGUCUGACUAGCUAUACAAGUUAGCAGCUAACAUGUACUGAUGGACUAGUUUGGGCCCCAUUCAGUAUCCAUUCAUCUCCCUUUUGUGAGCUUAGCAUUGCCCAAACUUUGAUGUUCUUCUCUGGCCCCUGGGCUUGGAAAGCUGUGUGACAACCUCUAUUGUAUAAUUUGUAUUAAUCUUUUCAAAGAACCAACUUUUGGCUUUGUUGAUUAUGCUCUAAUAUUUUCUAUUCUCUGAUUUCUAUUCUCAGCUUUAGUACUUUCUUCCUUCUAGUUUCUCUGGAUUUGAUUUGUUGUUCUUUAACUCUGAAAUGGAAACAUAGAUCAUUGUUUUUUGGCCUUUCCUAAUAUGUGUAUUUAAAGCUAUAAUAUCCCCUCUAUCCACUGCUCUAGCUGCACCCAUGAGUUUUGACAUGCAGUGUCUUUCCUUAUCAUCAGUUCAAAAUGUUUUAUAAUUUUCAUUGUGAUUUCUUUGACUCAUGAAUUAUUUAAAAGUGUAUUGCUUAAUAUUCAACCAGUUGUGGACUUUCUAGUAAUCUUUUUUUUUUUUACUGAUUUAUAGCUUAAUAUCACUGUGAUCUGAGAUCUCUGCCCUUUGAAAUUUGUGGAGACUGGGUGAACCAGUGUAUGGCAAGUUUUGGUAAAUGUUCUUAUGCAUUUGAAAGAGAAUGUGUGUUCUGUUAUUGUUGGGGACUGCCUCCUGUUUUGAGCUUCUCUCCAUAUUUUGUUAUUGUUUUGCCUCUUCCCUCUUUUCAGACUCUAGCAUUGUAUCCUGUAAUGGGACUUCCUGUUGAGUGCUCCCCCACAUCCAACACCAAGGCCACUGAACGCCUCUUUACCAACAUGCCGGGCACAGAUACCAACCCAUGAAAGCAAUGCAUCGAAGAAGAUGUGU
rnacentral:lncRNA from 1 species